rnacentral:rRNA from 1 species
UACGUAGGGUGCGAGCGUUAAUCGGAAUUACUGGGCGUAAAGCGUGCGCAGGCGGUUUUGUAAGCCAGAUGUGAAAUUCCCGGGCUUAACCUGGGGACUGCAUUUGAUACGUGUCGUCUUGAGUUCGGAAGAGGGUCGUGGAAUUCCCAGUGUAGAGGUGAAAUGCGUAGAUAUGCGGAGGAACACCGAUGGCGAAGGCAAUCCCCUGGACCUGUACUGACGCUCAUGCACGAAAGCGUGGGGAGCAAACAGG